UACGUAGGUGGCAAGCGUUGUCCGGAAUCAUUGGGCGUAAAGAGCGUGUAGGCGGCCCGGUAAGUCCGCUGUAAAAGUCAAAGGCUCAACCUUUGAAUGUCAGUGGAUACUGUCGGGCUAGAGUCCGGAAAAGGCGAGUGGAACUCCUGGUGUAGCGGUGGAAUGCGCAGAUAUCAGGAAGAACACCAACGGCGAAGGCAGCUCGCUAGGACGGUACUGACGCUGAGACGCGAAAGCGUGGGGAGCGAACAGG
rnacentral:rRNA from 1 species